AGAGUUUGAUCCUGGCUCAGAAUCAACGCUGGCGGCGUGCCUAACACAUGCAAGUCGAACGAGAAAGUGGAGCAAUCCAUGAGUAAAGUGGCGACCGGGUGAGUAACACGUGACUAACCUGCCCUUGAGUGGGGGAUAACCUCGGGAAACCGGGGCUAAUACCGCAUAACAUCGCAAGAUCAAAGGAGCAAUCCGCUGAAGGAGGGGGUCGCGGCUGAUUAGCUAGUUGGUGAGGUAACGGCUCACCAAGGCGAAGAUCAGUAGCCGGCCUGAGAGGGCGCACGGCCACACUGGAACUGAAACACGGUCCAGACUCCUACGGGAGGCAGCAGUGGGGAAUUUUGCGCAAUGGGGGAAACCCUGACGCAGCAACGCCGCGUGGAGGAUGAAGUCCCUUGGGAUGUAAACUCCUUUCGAUCGGGACGAUUAUGACGGUACCGGAAGAAGAAGCACCGGCUAACUCUGUGCCAGCAGCCGCGGUAAUACAGAGGGUGCAAGCGUUGUUCGGAAUUAUUGGGCGUAAAGGGCGCGUAGGCGGUGCGGUAAGACUGUGGUGAAAUCUCCGGGCUCAACUCGGAAAUUGCCGCGGUGACUGCCGUGCUCGAGUGUGGGAGAGGUGAGUGGAAUUCCCGGUGUAGCGGUGAAAUGCGUAGAUAUCGGGAGGAACACCUGUGGCGAAAGCGGCUCACUGGACCACAACUGACGCUGAGGCGCGAAAGCUAUGGGAGCAAACAGGAUUAGAUACCCUGGUAGUCCUAGCCCUAAACGAUGAUUGCUUGGUGUGUCGGGUACCCAAUCCCGACGUGCCGCAGCUAACGCGAUAAGCAAUCCGCCUGGGGAGUACGUCGCAAGACUGAAACUCAAAGGAUUGACGGGGCCCGCACAAGCGGUGGAGCAUGGUGGUUCAAUUCGACGCACGCGAAGAAACUCAUCCUGGGCUCGAAAUGAAUUG
rnacentral:rRNA from 1 species